AGGAAUAUUGGUCAAUGGACGAGAGUCUGAACCAGCCAAGUAGCGUGAAGGAUGACUGCCCUAUGGGUUGUAAACUUCUUUUAUAUGGGAAUAAAGUGAGCCACGUGUGGCUUUUUGUAUGUACCAUACGAAUAAGGAUCGGCUAACUCCGUGCCAGCAGCCGCGGUAAUACGGAGGAUCCGAGCGUUAUCCGGAUUUAUUGGGUUUAAAGGGAGCGUAGGCGGACUAUUAAGUCAGCUGUGAAAGUUUGCGGCUCAACCGUAAAAUUGCAGUUGAUACUGGUCGUCUUGAGUGCAGUAGAGGUAGGCGGAAUUCGUGGUGUAGCGGUGAAAUGCUUAGAUAUCACGAAGAACUCCGAUUGCGAAGGCAGCUUACUGGACUGUAACUGACGCUGAUGCUCGAAAGUGUGGGUAUCAAACAGGAUUAGAUACCCUGGUAGUCCACACAGUAAACGAUGAAUACUCGCUGUUUGCGAUAUACGGCAAGCGGCCAAGCGAAAGCAUUAAGUAUUCCACCUGGGGAGUACGCCGGCAACGGUGAAACUCAAAGGAAUUGACGGGGGCCCGCACAAGCGGAGGAACAUGUGGUUUAAUUCGAUGAUACGCGAGGAACCUUACCCGGGCUUAAAUUGCAAAUGAAUAUAGUGGAAACAUUAUAGCCGCAAGGCAUUUGUGAAGGUGCUGCAUGGUUGUCGUCAGCUCGUGCCGUGAGGUGUCGGCUUAAGUGCCAUAACGAGCGCAACCCUUAUCUUUAGUUACUAACAGGUCAUGCUGAGGACUCUAGAGAGACUGCCGUCGUAAGAUGUGAGGAAGGUGGGGAUGACGUCAAAUCAGCACGGCCCUUACGUCCGGGGCUACACACGUGUUACAAUGGGGGGUACAGAAGGCAGCUACACAGCGAUGUGAUGCUAAUCCCAAAAGCCUCUCUCAGUUCGGAUUGGAGUCUGCAACCCGACUCCAUGAAGCUGGAUUCGCUAGUAAUCGCGCAUCAGCCACGGCGCGGUGAAUACGUUCCCG
rnacentral:rRNA from 1 species